GGCUAGCUAACUGGCUAAGCUAACUUAGCAAACAUCACAUAGGUUAGCGUGCUAAUUUAGUCAUUUCUGGUAAAUGACUCUUGAAGUUGAUUUUAAUUCCACACCAUUCGAGUAGUUACUCAACUGUUGACGUUGUGAACACGUCGCGAAUAUUGCUUGGAUUGUUUGAUCAUAUGACACGUAACUUAGCUAACGUUAAGUUUGGUGUGUAGCUAACAUGAACGUUACAGUCAACGUUGGCUGGUUUAGGAGCUCCUGAAUGAUUUGUUUGCGCACGCUUGUGAGUGCAGUGCGGGUCUUUACGUUUCAGACUUUGUUAGUUUGAUUUACUUGAAACAGCUGUUGGAAAGUGACAACUUUCAGAAAAUCCCACUAAGUGCUUUCUCUAAUUCCACUUGUGUUGCAACUCCAGUGAGGUAAUACCAAGCCACAGGUAGAUGAUAUAACGCAGCAGGUAGGGUUAAGGCUGGGCUACUAGCUAGUUUAACUCGUAUAUGAUAGGGUUUAGGUAAACAUUGGUCAUUUGAUAGUUUAAAAUGUCCAGAGCAAUAACACUACUGUACAAGUGUCUGUCUAUCCCAACAGACAAACUCUGAUUAGGCCCAAUUGCCAUCUUACUCCAUUAAUGUACAACGAUUUAGGCCUGUGCAUAAACAUACGUCUUUGGUUUAUGCUCUUUGACAUACAGAUAAAGGAAACACUGGUGAUUGACACUAUUGGAUUAUGUGUUGUUUGUGCUAUGGAUUGGAGUGCCAUAAGGAAAUGACUUAACUGACCGACGUUACUGAUGAGUUUAAACCGUGUAAACGUUACUGAUUUCUAAGAAGUGAUGGCAGUUGCAUUUUGUCAAGGUAAAUUAACUGUAUGGUAUGAAAGCUUCAAAAACUGUCUUUCACUCUGCAUUUGCAACGCAGGUCUGUAAGCAUGCCCUCGCUGUUAAGACAAGGCAGACGGAUAAUCACUAGUCAAAAUGCUCACCAGGGCCCCUUCCUAGCUCCCUAUAGCUGUGCGAACAGGAAAUGCUGAGAAAUGCAGCCCAGUGAGGGCAUACAUUGGGAAUUCCAGCCCUCCAGCUUUGUUGUCCUGUCCUGCUGCAUUCUUGUGUGUGUGUGUGUGUGUGUGUGUGUGUGUGCGUCUGGAUACUGUUGUCAAUCAUUGUCGGUUACGAGACCGCUCCACAAACCUGGAUUUUAUUUUAUUUUUGACUUUGAAAGAAUUUUGUCCUACUGACUGAAAGCUUAUGGGAUACCGAAUGAGAAACAGCAACGACAACGAAUGGCGAUCCUUUCUAUGGUCAAACACUGUGCCAUACCUGAGUUGCCAAGCCCACGUACCACUGCGUUGUCUUCAUCUCCAUGGUUUUACCGAUCAGUGGGCUGAUGGCAUGAAAUGUAUAAAAACAAGUUGGUUCUGCUCUAGGGGCCAAAGUAAAAAGGCUUGAAAAGAUGUUGUGGUGACAGGCAAAUUAUGAAAGAGAUUGCAUUUCUUUGAAGAUGUCAGUAUUCUUCUUUGGCACAUUACCACUACAACUCAUAACCUGUAUUAAAAUGUAUAGAUGGUGGAACUUGUUAUUGAAUGUCAGAGAGAUUAUGAAGAUACUACGUAAGAGAUGGUAAAGUACUAAAAGUGGAUUUAAAUUGUGUAAAAAAAGAUACAUUAAACAGAAUAAAAAUAGGAUCAAAUUUACUAUUUUGUUUGUAUUAUAUUUACCAUUGUGUUGGCAGAGGGAUAUUGAACAGAAAUCAGCUGUAAUAAAGUAAUUUUAGUAUAA